UACUCAUCCUGUGUAACCGAAAUGUUUUGCCUUUUGACCAUAUCCUCCAGCUCUACUCCCUGGCUCCCAGCAAUUACCAUUCUACGUCUUGCUUCUACAGAGUCUACUUAAUUUAAAAAACAAACAAACAAACAACAACAAAAAAAACCUUCACCCUUGGGCAUCCCUUGGGCAUCCCAGAAAUACCCUGACCAAGACAACUUAUAAAGAGAAGCAUUUCAUUUGGCUUCUGGUUUCCGAGGAUUAAAGUUCAUGAUGAUGGUGGAAUAAAGAAAUUCUGAGAGUUCCCACCUGGAUCUGCAACCACAGGGCAGAGAGAAAGAGAGAGCUAACUGGGAAUGACUGGAGCUUUGGAAACUUCAAAGCUCUCUCCCCCAGUGACACACCUCCUCCAACGAGGCCACACCUCCUACACAAACAGUUCCACCUACUGGGGACCAAGUAUUCAAGUACUGAGCCUAUGGAGGCCUUUCUCGUUCAAGCCUUCAUAAUAACAUUUUUUCCUUUGUGAAGUUUCAAGAUGCUUUCCGUAAUGGCAGGAACAAUUCACAUCCCCAGCAGCACCGGUCAAUGUUCUUUCUCCACAUCCUUGUUCCACACCUGCUUUCUGCUAGCCUUUUUUGCUUGCUUGCUUCCUUGCUUGCUUGCUUUGGUUUUUUGAGAUAAUGACUUUACUAUGUGGUCCUGGCUGACUUGAAACUUGCAAUCCUCCUGCCUCAGUUGCCUGAGUGCUGAUGUCACAGAUGUUUAUCACCUCACUUGGUUCAAAGAGAUAAAUUUUUUUUUUAAUUCUUA